AACGAACGCUGGCGGCAUGCCUAACACAUGCAAGUCGAACGAGACCUUCGGGUCUCGUGGCGCACGGGUGCGUAACGCGUGGGAACCUGCCCUUAGGUUCGGAAUAACUCCCCGAAAGGGGUGCUAAUACCGGAUAAUUUCUUCGGACCACAGAUUUAUUGACUUUGGAUGGGCCCGCGUUGGAUUAGCUAGUUGGUAGGGUAAAAGCCUAUCAAGGCGACGAUCGAUAGCGGGUCUGAGAGAAAGGUCAGACACACUGAGUGUGGGACACGGCCCAGAAUCCUACGGGAGGGAGCAGUGGGUAAUAUAGGACAACGGGCGAUAGCCUGAUGCAGCUAGGCUGGUUGAGUGAUGAAGGCCGUAGGGAUGGAAAGCACUUUUACCCGGGAUGAUAAUGACGGUACCGAGAGAAUAAGCACCGGCUAACUCCGUG
rnacentral:rRNA from 1 species